ACGCUGGCGGCGUGCCUAACACAUGCAAGUCGAACGAGAAUCUGCGGAAAGAGGAUUCGUCCAAUUGAAACAGAGGACAGUGGCGGACGGGUGAGUAACGCGUGAGGAACCUGCCUUUCAGAGGGGGACAACAGUUGGAAACGACUGCUAAUACCGCAUGACACAUUGAGGUCGCAUGGCCUUAAUGUCAAAGAUUUAUCGCUGAAAGAUGGCCUCGCGUCUGAUUAGCUAGUUGGUGAGGUAACGGCCCACCAAGGCGACGAUCAGUAGCCGGACUGAGAGGUUGAACGGCCACAUUGGGACUGAGAUACGGCCCAGACUCCUACGGGAGGCAGCAGUGGGGAAUAUUGGGCAAUGGGCGCAAGCCUGACCCAGCAACGCCGCGUGAAGGAAGAAGGCUUUCGGGUUGUAAACUUCUUUUGUCAGGGACGAGUAGAAGACGGUACCUGACGAAUAAGCCACGGCUAACUACGUG
rnacentral:rRNA from 1 species